rnacentral:lncRNA from 1 species
AUCGAGUCUAUUGCAAAUUUGUUUUAGCAUUGCUAACAGUCCAUCCCCGUAGUUUGCAUUAUUAUUAUCACUAUUAUUUUGAUCAAAACUUCUUUUUCUUAGCGUUACACUUGAUAUUAAGGCGCGUAAAGACGUUCGCCUUUGAUUAUGUGUUCUGGUGUGCUGUCUAUUAUCCCUUGGUGCACUAAAUCUCGGAGCGAAUCUUUGUCCAUAAUCCUUGUUCGCCUGCGAACAAAGCCGAGAAUUCCAACCAUAUUGUGGUCUAUCCCAUCUGUUCUGCGUCGGUCCACUAGCAUAUCGUGGUUGACCAUAAUUACAAUACUUAUAUUGGUACGCCAUAUGUGGUUCGUACCUGGGUGCAUAUUGUGUAUACUGUUCC